AAGAAAAGAUGCAGGUCCUUCAAGCAGCCAUCUACGCUUGCCGAUGCCUCCUAAAGAGUAACUGAAGUGUGCGAAGGUAGGCUCAAGCAAAGAUUCUGCUCGUAAGUGUAAUGGUAUAAGUAUGUCUGACUGUGAGACCGACUUGUAGAACAGAGAAGAAAGUCAAUCAUAGUGAUCCGGGAAUCCUGUGUGGAAAGGCUCUCGCUCAACGGAUCAAAAGUACGCCAGGGAUAACAAGCUGAUGACACUAAAGAGCUUUUAUCGAUAGAGUCGCUUGGCACCUCGAUAUCGACUCAUCACAUCCUAGGGUUAAAAAGGCCCAAGGGUGUUCGCAGUUGCUAUCUCUUAGCAGUUUAAUGUGGUUGAAUGUGAUCUCGUUAACUCUGGUUUUUAU
rfam:Brassica napus, WGS project CCCW01000000 data, contig: 19627